rnacentral:tRNA from 1 species
GGGGUUGUGGCUCAGCGGUAGAGCACUCGCCUUGCACGUGUGGAAACCCUGGGUUUGAUCCUCAGCACCACA